rnacentral:rRNA from 1 species
AACGAACGUUGGCGGCGUGGAUGAGGCAUGCAAGUCGAACGUGAAAGCCGCAAGGUGAGUAGCGUGGCGGACGGGCGAGUAACACGUAAUCAAGCUGCCUGCGAGACGGGGAUAACUUCGGGAAACCGAAGCUAAGACCCGAUGGUCUACCGAGACUGCAUGGUUUUGGUAGUAAAUGGGCGGGAUCCUUCGGGAUCGCCUGCUCGCAGAGGUGAUUGCGGCCCAUCAGCUAGUUGGUAGGGUAAUGGCCUACCAAGGCAACGACGGGUAGCCGGCCUAAGAGGGUGGUCGGCCGCACUGGGACUGAGACACUGCCCAGACUCCUACGGGAGGCUGCAGUCGAGAAUCUUCCGCAAUGGGCGAAAGCCUGACGGAGCGACGCCGCGUGGAGGACGAAGGCC